UACCCUAAGAGUUUUGAUAGUUUUACAUUUAAACUACCGGUACCAUAGAACCAGUAGUUAUAAAAAGAGAUUCAAACCAAUAGUAUGAUUUUUUUUUCUUUCCUUUAGUAAUCUGCCACAUCCAAUGAGUCCUUUAACUUUCUGAUCAAUAAAUGAUUAACUUCCCUUUAUACUUGUUCAGAUAAGGAGAUGGCAGAAUUAAUAUCUAGUUUUUCAAGGAAUA